UGCGGUUAUACAAAAGUUAAAUUAAAUUUUUUUAGGAUUUAAUAAAUAAAUAUUUUUAAUAAUUUUAAAUAUUAAAUUAUAAGGUAAAAUUUUAAUUUAAUUAAAUUUUAUUUAUUUUUAUAACAUUAAUAAAUUUUAUAAAAAACUAGGAUUAGAUACCCUAUUAUAAAAAUUUAAAUUUAAUAAUCUUAAAAUAGUAUAUAAUUUUUUAUAGAAACUUAAAUAAUUUGGCGGUAUUUUAGUUCAUUUAGAGGAAUCUGUCUAAUAAUUGAUAAUCCACGAUUAAAUUUACUUAAUUUUUAAUUUUGUAUAUCGUUGUUAAAAAAAUAUUUUUAAAUAAAUAUAAUAUUUUAAAAUUUAUAAAAAAAAAUUAAAUCAGAUCAAGAUGCAGAUUAUAAUUAAGAAUAUGAUGGAUUACAAUAAAUUUUAUUUUAUUUGGAUAUUAAUUUGAAAUAAAUUAAUUGAAAUUGGAUUUAAAUGUAAUUUUAUUAAUUUUGUUAAAAUGAUUUAAAAUUAAAAUAUGUACAUAUUGCCCGUCGCUUUCAUUAAUAAAUUGAAAUAAGUCGUAACAAAGUAGAGGUACUGGAAAGUGUCUCUAGAAAGAU
rnacentral:rRNA from 1 species